GUAGCCCAAGAGCUGCAGCAGAGGGAGGAUGCAGAGAUUCAAGGACUGUGCAUCCCUGGGGCAGCUCACCCCCAAACCCGGAUUCAUUCCCUGCUUCUGGAACAUCUCCAACCCCUUCCGCGGAGUGCCAGUCGGGCACUGGGUUCCAGUCUCUGCCACAACCCCUCUGAAAUGUGCCAGGCUGUCUCCUCUCAUCCCAUCACUGCCAUCAGCUGUGCUGAGCUGCUCUCUAGGGAUCAUUCCCAUACUACAAAAACUUCCCAAAAACUGGAAUGAUGAGGAAGAUAUGAAAGAAAAGAGGCUGCUCUGCCUGUGAAACAGGUGAAUGUCCUGCAGCUCUGACAGAUGCUCACCCUGAGGACCUGCAGUGUCCAAGGAACCAGGAAAACAUUUCCAGGCCAGGUUGGACAGGGCUUGGAGCAACCUGGGAUAGUGGAAAGUGUUGGGGUGGAACUGGAUGGGCUCGAAGGUCCCUUCCAACCCAAACCAUUCCAGGAUUCCACGAGUACUUUGAGGAGUUGUGCCUUUCCUAUGUUCCUGCUCCUAUAAAAAACAAAUCCAGACUGUUCCUGCUCUGGAAUUCCUCUCCCCCUUUAGUUCAAAGAGCAGAAGUUCACAUGGCAGAGCUGACGAAUUUUGUGCAGGACUGGCCAAAAAAUGAACGUCAAAGUUUGCUGAGCCCUUUUGAUCCCCACCAAGGCUUUUGGAAAUUAGCUGUGAAAACAAAACCAACCCCAAAACCACAGAGGAGAGAAAGGCACUGCUGGACCCACCCGUGCUGGCUUGGUGGGAGAGCCUCUCCCACGGGAUGCAGAAUUCCUGCUGUGCUCCAUCUGCCCACGCAGCGUGCCCUGAGAUGCUGCUCUGGAAGUGCUGAGCUGGAGCAGGCACAAAGGUGCUCUUUCAUUCCUGGGCAGCAUCAUCCUGCAGUCGUUAACUGGGGAUUAGCCCGGGAUGAUGCCCAAACAAAUGGGACACGGAAGGGCAGGGAAUGCUGUUCCUGCCCUGAUCCCACCUGGAGCUGUGCCAGGGCAAACAGCAGAGCCAAGGGGCCUUGUGGCUGCAGGGCAUGGAGAGGCAGGAUGGGCACAGGAUGGGCAGGAGGAGCUUUCCCAAAACUGGGAGUGGUGCCUUUGUCACCUUCUGGUGUCCCCGGAGCUCGGCCAUGCCUGUCUCCCCCAGGGAUGGCUUGGAAUUGCUGCACUUCCAGGGCUGGGAUUCCAUGAAGGAGCAGCCCCGCUCCUCCUGGGAGGUUUCCUCCUUCCAUGGCUGCUGCAAAGGUCAGGAAGGGACAGCAGGGGUGAGGGUUUGCUGGCAGUGAGCUGUUCAGCCUGGGCCAGGGCAGCGAGUCCUGCUCGUGGCAGGGUGAUCCCAAAGGUCCCUCCCAGCCCAAACCAGGCUGUGGUUCCAUGAAUCCUCUCCGUGGGAAGCACAUCUGGGAAGUUCUUCCUCUGGAAGGAGCAAAAACUGCCCAAGGUCUCCAUCCAAAGGCUGCUCUCAAAGGUUCUUGGUCUAAACUGAGUGCAAAGCUGGUCUUAAACUCCCCCCAGAACUCAAAAUACAGACCAGAGAGGCUCCCCGUGGGCAGGGACACCUUCCACCAUCCCAGGGUGCUCCAAACCCCAUCCAGCCUGGCCUUGUACACUUCCAGGGAUCCAGGGGCAGCCACAGUUUCUCUGGGAGUUCCAUCCCAGCCCCUCCCCACCCCGCAGGGAAGGAUUCCUUCCCAAUAUCCCAAACUCUGCUUGCUCCCUGUGUCCCUGCACUGCAUCCCGACUGCCCUGGGACCAAACCAUCCCUCUUGGAAAGCCCAGGUGGGGCAGGAGGAGCUGGAGAAGCCGAGAGCAGGAGCUGAGUGUGUGUGAAGUGACUUUACAAGCACGCUGCCCCGGGAGGGCAAUAAAAGGGCACAGCGCAAUUACCCAGGUUUAAUUAAGAAGGGAACAUUUAAAUGAGGUGCAUCAUUGUUGGUGUGGCACGUGUUUCAUUUCAGUCCUUGCAGCUCACCCCUGAAAUAAAUCAGCCCUGGUGGCAUUCCUGAGCAGGAGGGAAGGGAACAGAGCUGCCUCUGGAAUGUUCCUUCUCAAUCCCCAGCCCGCUCUGUGUGCGCGCGGCGGCACUCGAGACAAUUAAUUCCAGCUAAUUAAAGGUGUGAGUUUCCAGCAGAUCAGCUCAGCCACCCCGAGCAGCCCUCUCCAUUCACAGCCCACACGAUCCAGCUGGGAUUGAUUCCCUUGGCGUGGGAUGGAGGGGAUGGAAUUGAGGCUGUUUGAAAAGGGAGUGAACGUCUGCUCCAGCCUUUCCGGGGAUUUCACUGAUCCACUGCUCUGCCCUGAGCAUCCCUGGCUCUUCUGGAGCUUGGGUGGGCAGCUCCACCCUCCCAAAUUCCAGCUGUGUUGGGACUCUCCAAAGUUCUGCUGGUACUAAAACCCCAUGGGUGGCACUGCCAGGCUCUCCAUGCCCUGCUCCAUCCUCUCCCAGCCUUCAGCCCUGUGGAAAUGGAAUAUCCCAGCUCCCUGCCCUGGGAGAUCCACUCUGGAGCUGGUAACACACUCCAGCUGGGAAGGAAUUUUCCCACCAACUUCAGCCUCUCUGUCCAGCCUGCAAAUCCCUGGAUGCAGCCUCUUCUGGGACAAGGAAUCCUCUGGCCACUGGAAAAUUUCAUCUUCUGCUGCACCUCUGGAGUGGCAGCUCCCCGAUUCCCAGCUCCCAUCCCUCCAGGAGCAGGGCUUGGAGCAACACUGGGGUACCCAAACACACCCCCAGCAUUCCCAACACUGCCAUCACAAGGCUCAGCCUUCUCCUGGCUGGGCUCCAUCCCUGUGCACACUCAAGGAAUUCCUCCUUAUUCCACAGGACAGCCAGGGAAGUCUCCAAGUUGGUGGCAAAUCCCUCUGAAAUUCCCCACCGGAGCGGCGGAGCCAGAGCCUGGAGACACAGAGAGUUGUCCCUGCUCCAGUGGGGAAAUCUUGGGAUCUGCAGGCAUGAAAGAGCCCCUGUGGUCCCCACGAGGCUGCUCCUUGUCAUCCCUUCAACUCUGUGCUCACUUUUCCUGGGAGGGAAGCGAAAUUCCUGCCCCGGGAUUGGCGCCGCCGUGCCAGAACAGCAGUGACCUCUGUAACCACACAAGAUUUAGUGGUUACUUGAUUUCAGCUGUAAUGAGGCUUUGGAAACCACCACCAGCCAAAUGUUUUCUUCUCCUUUAACUCUUGGUGGAUCGUGGGGAAUAAAGAAGGGAGCAGACGGGAAUAACUGAGGGAGCAGAGGAGCUGGCUGGGCGGGAAUGGAGAAUUCCCAGAGAAUUCCCCGGCGUCUGAAGUGGGAGCACGGUGGUACCCAGAGCAGGGAGGUGCUGAGUGAGAAGUUAUUGGGAGAAAUGAGGCCUGAACUCCUUCCAGCAGGAGCUGGAAUGGCUUGGAACAUUGAGGAGAAUCUGAGAUUCCUCCCUGCACUGAGAUCCAGGGAUUCACUGAGGGCUGAUUUCAUCCAGACCCUGCUGAGGCUCAUGGGAGAGGUCACCAGAGCCCAGCCAGCACCACCCCGUGGGAUCCUGGAAUGGUUUGGGUUGGGAAGGGAUCUAAAACCCCUCCAGUUCCGACCCCAACACCUCCCACUGUCCCAGGCUGCUCCCAGUCCUGUCCUUGGGCACUUCCAGGGAUCCAGGGGCAGCCACAGCUGCUCUGGGAAUCCCAUCCCAGCCCCUCCCCACCCUCAGAGGGGAGAAUUCCGUCCCAAAAUCCCACCUAAUCUUAAUCUCUGUUAAUGUCAAGCCACUCCCUGUGUCCUGUCCCUCCAGGUCUUGUCCCAGGUCCCUCUCCAGCUCUCCUGGAGCCCCUUCAGGCCCUGGAAGAUUCUCCAGGGUCUGUCAGGAAAGCCUGUGCUCAUCCUUUUGAUUUCCACAGAAUCACAGAACCAAUUAGCUUGGAAAAACCUCUGGGAUCAUCAAAUCCAACCUAAAUUUCUGUCCAAGCUGCAUCUGCAGGGGAUCCCUCUCCUGUAAAGUUGGUCCUGGCUGGAGUCUGCCCCACCAGGAUCUGCCUUGAGCACGGGAGGCAGACACAGACCGAGGAACCUCCUCACAGUAAUAGAAACCAAUUUAACACAAUCUGGGGCUUUGGAAUGAGUGCCCAAACCCUUUCACUCCCACAGCAGAGAGCAGCAGGGGCUGCUGGAGCUGGAUGGAUCUGGGCUUCCCCAGCAGUGGCAGUGUCCCCAGGCCACGGGUGAUGCCACCACCGUGCCACCGGAACGACGGAGCCACGCAGGAUCGGGCGACCCAAUUAAUUGGGAGCAGCUGGAAACAUCUUCCUGCAGGUUUAAUUUGCUGCAUGACUGAGUGUCAGCUGUGUGAGGGAGAGGGGCAGGGCCCCAGGCAGGGCAGGGCACGGUGGGGUGGAAAUGAGGGGACUGGAAAGGUGCUGGGAUCCACGUGGCACCAGCGACAUCCCUCGUGCACAGAUCUGUGUUACAAAAGGAAUCAACAAUUCCAAAUGGGUCUUUAAAAUUCUGCUGUUGAGGAGGGCAGUGGAGGCUUUUUAACCAAGUUUGGGUAGGGUGAGCUUUUUCCUUUUUUCCUUUGAGGCCUCCUGAGAGCUCCCAUCUGAGCCAUUCUUUGGGAAUACCCACUUUGAGUCCCUGGAUGGAUUAUCCCAAUCUCAGCUGCCCCAAGCGAGGGAAACCAGAACUUCCCAACGGCUUUCCAGCCAUUCCACAAUGAAACUGCUGCUUGUCCCAGGUGAUUCUUGCUUGGUGUGGCCAGGUGGUGGCUGUGAAUGUCUGCCCAGGGAGGGGUGGAGUCACCAUCCCUGCACCUGUUUCAAGCAGCACUGGAUGUGGCGCUCAGGGCCGUGGUUUGGUUGGUGAGGAGGUGGCAGGGCGUAGACUGCCCCAGCACAGGGACACUGGGGGUGCUCAGCCUUCCCCAGACCCCAGCUCCAGGGCGGUUCAGCCCCACCACGCAGCUUUGGGAACUCCCAAGCUGUUUAUCCACAAAGCCAGGGCACCCCAAGGCCAGGGAUCUGCUGCGUGCCGAGGGAAGGAAGGACAUCCCUGUCCCUGCUGGUGGCAGAGGAGCUGCUGGCACGUAGAGCUGUGAUUCCUCAGAAAACAGAGCCUGCUGAGACCCCAAACCAGGCUGCAGCAGGAGCCUGCCAGGGGUGAGCUCCAAGGCAGGGAUUGCUGCCCCCCAAACCCCAGCUCAGCCUGGGGAAUAAAACCGAGGGAGAGCCAAGAUUUCAUCAGGAGCCUGCCCCGCUCUGGCUCGGGGCAGGGGAAGAAUUUCCAUGAAAUUCACCUCGUGGGCAUUCGUGCCCAACCAGCAGCAAACUGUGGCUGAGCAGGGGCUGCUUUCAAAGGCUUGCAGGGAUUCACCACAUUUUUCCAAGCACCCCAUCCCUUUGUUGGCCUGCUGGUGAACUAAUCCAGCCUGAUACUCCCGUUUUUGUUACAGCCAUGACCUUUUCUAUCCUGAUUCCCAUCUAACUCCAACCAUUUUGGCAGCUCAGAGCUGUUUGCUGUAACAAUAAUCCUGCCUCGCUGAGUUUAUAACCUUGUGAGCUGCACCAGCUUUUAUUUGAAUAGAUAAAGCCAAAUUCUCACCUGCACUGAGUUGGAGGGAAGUCAAUUUAUGCCAUCAAAAGAGCUGGCCCCAAGUUUUAACUCCAUCAAACGCCUCUUUGAUCUCCUUUUGGAGGAAAGGGAAAAUAGAAUCACUUUGUAUCUGCAGGGGGUUGUGCCCCACGUUUUAUCUCCUGCCUCUGAAUCUUCCCAAGUGGAAUUGUGCUGUUCCUAAUGAGGGACUCCCAGCGUGGGUUCUGCUCCACGGAUGGCCAGGGGAUCACACCUUCCACUCAUCCUGCAGGACAGAGCUCCUGCUGGGCUCCCACGGGGGGAGGAGAGGACUCCUGCACGCUGCAGGGAUUUGGGAAUGGCAGGAAUGGCUCCCACCCCUCUGGGCAGUGCCAGCUGCAGGUUUGGCACUGCGUGGACAGGCUCUUAUCUAAUCUCAUCUCUCUCAGGUCGAGCAAGGACCUGACCCUGUCACUUGUUCCUCUACCAGGAAGAACCCUCUGCUCCACACCUCUGGUGGUGCCAAACAAAGCUCCUCUGUUGGACACCCUGCACGUUCUGCUCCUCCUCCUCCUCACCUUCCUCCAGUCCCUCCAUGACCUCCCCGUGUUCCCUCUCGUGAUCCUGCUCUCAUCCCAUGCAGCAGCCCCUCAAACAACUGUCCUGUCCACGUUCCCAGUGGGAUUUCUCCAGGAUGUGGCUUUGGGUGGCAGAGGAACGUGGGGAGGUGUCACAAUAGGACACGAGGUGAACGACACACACUAUGAAACUUUCAAGGUAAAAAGGAGGAAGUUUAUUUCUCCACCUCGAUAUAAAGUGACCCUGGACUGGAGGGUGAAAUUGCCACCUCUCUAAUGACACUGGUCAAACUAACAGUCCAUCACAUUUCUCCUCCAGAAAAGAAUGUAAAACAAUCAUUAUUUACACGACAUGUGCCUGAGAUUUCUAUUACAAAAAUGUAAACAUCAGAAGGCUUAGAAGAACUUAGACGAACAGGGGGACAGGGAGGUUUCCAGAGAGCUCUGCAUGCCUUCCCUGCUGAGCACCACGUGAGAGGCGUUGGCCCAGUUCAGUUCCUGGGUUUCCUGCGUUUCCUUGAGCUGUGGGAUCAGCCUGGGCUGCUCAGGGGCUCUGCAGGCUCAAUCUGGGUCACUGUGCCAAGCUGGCAUUGCUGCCUCGGGUCUCAGCAGGGACAGCCAGCCUCAGGGCUGUCACUGCAGCCCGGCAUUCCCAACCUCCACCAGCCCAGGCUGGAUCCAGAAUCCCGGGCAGGGAUGGAUGCACUGCCUCCUGAACAAACCAGCUCCUGCUGGAGUCCCCACGCUGGGCUGGGAGGGAGGAAUUUAAUCAAGCUGGGUCUCCCUGGCCUUCAGGAGCCGCUCAGGCCAGCUGGGAGGAACAUCGAGCAGGCAGCCAACGUGUCCAGAAGGGAAAGGCCGUCCUUCCCCCCGUUCACUGGAGCUUUGCAGAGCACUGGAGCAUGAGAAUUUAUAAUCUUUCCCAGCUAUUGCUUCUGGGCUUUUCCUGAGUCUCUCCAGCUCCGGGUGUUUGUGUUUCACCGCUCUUCCUCCUCCCUCCGUGCUGCUCCAGCCCAUCCUGAGUCACCUGCCACGGCACAAGGCCCCAGCCGGCCCAGACAGGGCUUGUGCAACGAGCUUUUGGAAAGUCUGAAAGGUUAAACCAUCCUCAUAAACAGAAGAAAGGUUAUAAAAGUUGUGUUUCCAACCCUGCGCCUCUCCCCGCGCGCCUCAGAGUCGUUUUCUUUACGGCAAAAGAAAACAGAGCUUUUAAUUCGGCGUCUGUGCCGAGACCGCUGAACACUGGGAAGAGGGCACUGGGUCCUCUGCUGCUUUUAGAGAGCUAAUUAAUUUUAACUAACUUUCCCUUUGUCUGGGCAGAGCGGGGCAGGAGCCGGCGCUGGUGUGCGAGACCAUGGCCAGGCCUCACCUGGAGGAGCCGUGACGGCAGCCAGGGGACCCCCGGGACCCCCUGCCAGCCCAGGGCUGCAGGAAAACCCAUUGCAGCGGUGCAUGAGGUCACCCCGGCCUGGGAGACGGCGUCUGCCACCGGGCUGUGCGGCAGCAAUCCCCACAGAAGUCCUCGUGCCUUGUGAAGUUGUCAAACUGUAAAGUUAAUGAGGUAGAAAUGAGAGCCCGGCGCAGGCGUCUGAGCGCUGGAACGGCUCCCCCGGCGGGCUCCGGCUGCAGCCCCUGCAAAUGAAGUGGCUGAGGGUCCCCUUGGAGCCCGGCCAAGUCGCCACUGCUGCUGCAGAGAGCUCCUCGUGCUCCUUGUGCAGCCCCAGGAAGGCGGGCAGGGAGGAACACGCGGCUCCUUGGAGCGAGACAAGCAGGAAAAGCAGACAGACAUUACACUGCUCCUGGCCCGGGCUGGAAACUCCAAAGCAGGGCAGGCACGCACUCACCCACGGGCUGGGACAGGGCUGGGUGCUCCUGGAGCCUGGGGACACCGGGGGACACCGGGGCACAGGAGAUUCACCUCGGAUGUGGAUUCUGUGAGUUCUGAAAUCUGGGCUGACAGGGCUUGGGGUCAAUGCCACCCAAGAGAAAAAGGGUGGGAGAAAGGAAGAAUUGGGGAAAACCCUAACAGCCUCACACGGAGCCGCUGCCCCAGCCGGGCUCUGCCCCCUGCUCCGCCCAGGGAACGCCCGGCUUGGGCCGGAUCUCCUGCUUUUUGGCAAUAAACCACCAAAACCUGAGCUGGUAAUUCCCUCUGGGAUGCUCCAGGGCUGAGCCAGGAUCUCAUUCUCUUCCUGAAGCAAAGGCAGAGCACCUGUCCUGUGUCCUUGAACAGCACUUCCCAACGGUGGGAAAUAGAUUUGUGGUCAACUUUUGGACUUUUAGUUUGGAAAUAGUUAACUUCUGGUUGUGAUGGUGUGAAUUAUGACAUCUGUAUGGUCUCACCCUUCACGUGAGACUGGAAAUGGAAUAAAAGCUUUUCAAACCCC